AUUGAACGCUGGCGGCAGGCCUAACACAUGCAAGUCGAGCGGGGUUUUCGGACCUAGCGGCGGACGGGUGAGUAAUGCGUAGGAAGCUGCCCGAUAGAGGGGGAUACCAGUUGGAAACGACUGUUAAUACCGCAUAAUGUCUACGGACCAAAGUGUGGGACCUUCGGGCCACAUGCUAUCGGAUGCGCCUACGUGGGAUUAGCUAGUUGGUGAGGUAAUGGCUCACCAAGGCGACGAUCUCUAGCUGGUUUGAGAGGAUGAUCAGCCACACUGGAACUGAGACACGGUCCAGACUCCUACGGGAGGCAGCAGUGGGGAAUAUUGGGCAAUGGACGCAAGUCUGACCCAGCCAUGCCGCGUGCAGGAUGAAGGCGUUAUGCGUUGUAAACUGCUUUUAUACAGGAAGAAACGACUCUUGCGAGAGGCAUUGACGGUACUGUAUGAAUAAGCACCGGCUAACUCCGUGCCAGCCGCCGCCGUAAGAC
rnacentral:rRNA from 1 species